rnacentral:rRNA from 1 species
GACGAACGCUGGCGGCGUGCUUAACACAUGCAAGUCGAACGGAAAGGCCCUGCUUUUGUGGGGUGCUCGAGUGGCGAACGGGUGAGUAACACGUGAGUAACCUCCCCUUGACUUUGGGAUAACUUCAGGAAAAUGGGGCUAAUACCGGAUAGGAGCUCCUGCUGCAUGGUGGGGGUUGGAAAGUUUCGGCGGUGGGGGAUGGACUCGCGGCUUAUGAGCUUGUUGGUGGGGUAGGGGCUUACCAAGGCUUUGACGGGUAGCCGGCCUGAGAGGGUAGCCGGCCACAUUGGGACUGAGAUACGGCCCAGACUCCUACGGGAGGCAGCAGUGGGGAAUAUUGCACAAUGGGCGGAAGCCUGAUGCAGCAACGCCGCGUGCGGGAUGACGGCCUUCGGGUUGUAAACCGCUUUCGCCUGUGACGAAGCGUGAGUGACGGUAAUGGGUAAAGAAGCACCGGCUAACUACGUG